GGAGCUUGCUCCACCGGAAAAAGAAGAGUGGCGAACGGGUGAGUAACACGUGGGUAACCUGCCCAUCAGAAGGGGAUAACACUUGGAAACAGGUGCUAAUACCGUAUAACAAUCGAAACCGCAUGGUUUUGAUUUGAAAGGCGCUUUCGGGUGUCGCUGAUGGAUGGACCCGCGGUGCAUUAGCUAGUUGGUGAGGUAACGGCUCACCAAGGCCACGAUGCAUAGCCGACCUGAGAGGGUGAUCGGCCACAUUGGGACUGAGACACGGCCCAAACUCCUACGGGAGGCAGCAGUAGGGAAUCUUCGGCAAUGGACGAAAGUCUGACCGAGCAACGCCGCGUGAGUGAAGAAGGUUUUCGGAUCGUAAAACUCUGUUGUUAGAGAAGAACAAGGAUGAGAGUAACUGUUCAUCCCUUGACGGUAUCUAACCAGAAAGCCACGGCUAACUACGUGCCAGCAGCCGCGGUAAUACGUAGGUGGCAAGCGUUGUCCGGAUUUAUUGGGCGUAAAGCGAGCGCAGGCGGUUUCUUAAGUCUGAUGUGAAAGCCCCCGGCUCAACCGGGGAGGGUCAUUGGAAACUGGGAGACUUGAGUGCAGAAGAGGAGAGUGGAAUUCCAUGUGUAGCGGUGAAAUGCGUAGAUAUAUGGAGGAACACCAGUGGCGAAGGCGGCUCUCUGGUCUGUAACUGACGCUGAGGCUCGAAAGCGUGGGGAGCAAACAGGAUUAGAUACCCUGGUAGUCCACGCCGUAAACGAUGAGUGCUAAGUGUUGGAGGGUUUCCGCCCUUCAGUGCUGCAGCUAACGCAUUAAGCACUCCGCCUGGGGAGUACGACCGCAAGGUUGAAACUCAAAGGAAUUGACGGGGGCCCGCACAAGCGGUGGAGCAUGUGGUUUAAUUCGAAGCAACGCGAAGAACCUUACCAGGUCUUGACAUCCUUUGACCACUCUAGAGAUAGAGCUUCCCCUUCGGGGGCAAAGUGACAGGUGGGUGCAUGGUUGUCGUCAGCUCGUGUCGUGAGAUGUUGGGUUAAGUCCCGCAACGAGCGCAACCCUUAUUGUUAGUUGCCAUCAUUUAGUUGGGCACUCUAGCAAGACUGCCGGUGACAAACCGGAGGAAGGUGGGGAUGACGUCAAAUCAUCAUGCCCCUUAUGACCUGGGCUACACACGUGCUACAAUGGGAAGUACAACGAGUCGCGAAGUCGCGAGGCUAAGCUAAUCUCUUAAAGCUUCUCUCAGUUCGGAUUGUAGGCUGCAACUCGCCUACAUGAAGCCGGAAUCGCUAGUAAUCGCGGAUCAGCACGCCGCGGUGAAUACGUUCCCGGGCCUUGUACACACCGCCCGUCACACCACGAGAGUUUGUAACACCCGAAGUCGGUGAGGUAACCUUUGGAGCCAGC
rnacentral:rRNA from 1 species